rnacentral:tRNA from 1 species
GUGGCUACGGCUCAGUGGUAAAAUGCUCACCUCUCAUGUGUGAGGUCCUGCUUUCGAUCCUCAAUACCACA